rfam:Loxodonta africana unplaced genomic scaffold scaffold_4, whole genome shotgun sequence.
GGGAAGGUGUAGAGGUUACAGAGUUGGCUUGAAACUAACUAUUGGAGGUUCGAUUCCUUCCUUUCUCG